AGCAGUCGCCACGGGAAUACGGAGGGGGCUAGCGUUGUUCGGAAUUACUGGGCGUAAAGCGCACGUAGGCGGCUUGGUAAGUUAGAGGUGAAAGCCUGGAGCUCAACUCCAGAAUUGCCUUUAAGACUGCCGAGCUAGCAGGUGAGAGAGGUAAGUGGAAUUCCGAGUGUAGAGGUGAAAUUCGUAGAUAUUCGGAAGAACACCAGUGGCGAAGGCGGCUUACUGGCUCAUACUGGACGCUGAGGUGCGAAAGCGUGGGGAGCAAACAGGAUUAGAUACCCCUGUAGUCCCUGUCUCUUAUAA
rnacentral:rRNA from 1 species